UACGUAGGGGGCAAGCGUUGUCCGGAUUUAUUGGGCGUAAAGCGCGUGUAGGCGGCCAUGUAGGUCUGACGUGAAAUUCCGAGGCUCAACCUCGGCAGGUCGUUGGAAACCAUAUGGCUAGAGUGCGGUAGAGGGUGGUGGAAUUCCCGGUGUAGCAGUGAAAUGCGUAGAGAUCGGGAGGAACAUCAGUUGCGAAGGCGGCCACCUGGACCAGCACUGACACUGAGGCACGGAAGCGUGGGGAGCAAACAGG
rnacentral:rRNA from 1 species